rnacentral:rRNA from 1 species
GGAUGAACGCUGGCGGCGUGCCCAAUACAUGCAAGUCGAGCGAACGGACGAGAAGCUUGCUUCUCUGAUGUUAGCGGCGGACGGGUGAGUAACACGUGGAUAACCUACCUAUAAGACUGGGAUAACUUCGGGAAACCGGAGCUAAUACCGGAUAAUAUUUUGAACCGCAUGGUUCAAAAGUGAAAGACGGUCUUGCUGUCACUUAUAGAUGGAUCCGCGCUGCAUUAGCUAGUUGGUAAGGUAACGGCUUACCAAGGCAACGAUGCAUAGCCGACCUGAGAGGGUGAUCGGCCACACUGGAACUGAGACACGGUCCAGACUCCUACGGGAGGCAGCAGUAGGGAAUCUUCCGCAAUGGGCGAAAGCCUGACGGAGCAACGCCGCGUGAGUGAUGAAGGUCUUCGGAUCGUAAAACUCUGUUAUUAGGGAAGAACAUAUGUGUAAGUAACUGUGCACAUCUUGACGGUACCUAAUCAGAAAGCCACGGCUAACUACGUG